rnacentral:rRNA from 2 species
CUCAGUAACGGCGAGUGAAGCGGCAAGAGCUCAAAUUUGAAAUCUGGCCCCUCCGGGGUCCGAGUUGUAAUUUGCAGAGGAUGCUUCGGGUGCGGCCCCCGUCUAAGUGCCCUGGAACGGGCCGUCAUAGAGGGUGAGAAUCCCGUCUGGGACGGGGUGUCCGUGCCCGUGUGAAGCUCCUUCGACGAGUCGAGUUGUUUGGGAAUGCAGCUCUAAAUGGGUGGUAAAUUUCAUCUAAAGCUAAAUACUGGCCGGAGACCGAUAGCGCACAAGUAGAGUGAUCGAAAGAUGAAAAGCACUUUGAAAAGAGAGUUAAACAGCACGUGAAAUUGUUGAAAGGGAAGCGCUUGCGACCAGACUCGCCCGCGGGGUUCAGCCGGCCUUCGGGCCGGUGUACUUCCCCGCGGGCGGGCCAGCGUCGGUUUGGGCGGCCGGUCAAAGGCCUUCGGAAUGUGUCGCCCCCCGGGGCGUCUUAUAGCCGGAGGUGCAAUGCGGCCAGCCCGGACCGAGGAACGCGCUUCGGCUCGGACGCUGGCAUAAUGGUCGUAA